CUCUGGUCCGAUGGCCUCGUUGCCCCUCUCCCCCUCAGCAGUGUCUAGCCAAUGAUCUCAGCCGUGGCCUGCAAGGUUCACCCUGUCUGCACGAGGGAUCGUAAUUCAGCCUCCUGCUCACUCCUCCAAGCCUCUACUGCAUGCAGAGCGCCCGUGGUGACGGUAUGUGCCAGCUAUUCUUAGCAGCUUUGGGCUGCAGAGUGAGCUGUUUGCUUCAAACUCAUUUACGUAAGGCUUGGGCUAAUUAGAGCCCACAAAGUGACUUACAGUCCUCACCCUUCAGAGUGAGAUCUUUCACCUGCUACAAUGUGCAGCAGUGGCAAAGAGUGAGGAUCAUGAUUUACUCCAUCCAGCUAGCAAGAGAUGACAGCUUUCCACAGGUGGACCAGCGGAAUGGGUGCUAUGCCAGAAAGCUCUGCUGUUCUUCACCGCAGUGUCUGGACUUGCCUGUCACUGCCAUAGCAAUAGGACGGAUACAAAUCCAAACCUAACAUCACUGUGAUCCAAAACUCAUCUCACUAUGGACUCAGAGUCAUAUAGACUCAGUACUUCACCCAGAGGGUGGUGACGCACUGAACAGGUUGCCCAAGGAGGCUGUGGAUGCCCCAUCCCUGGAGGCAUUCAAGGCCAGGCUGGAUGUGGCUCUGGGCAGCCUGGUCUGCUGGUUGGCGACCCUGCACAUAGCGGGGGGUUGGAACU
ensembl:lncRNA